rnacentral:tRNA from 1 species
GGUCUUUUAGUUUAUUUUAGAAUUUUUUAUUUACGAUAAAAAGGGUUUUGGCUU